GACGAACGCUGGCGGCGUGCCUAAUACAUGCAAGUAGAACGCACAGUUUAUACCGUAGCUUGCUACACCAUAGACUGUGAGUUGCGAACGGGUGAGUAACGCGUAGGUAACCUGCCUGGUAGCGGGGGAUAACUAUUGGAAACGAUAGCUAAUACCGCAUAAUAUUAAUUAUUGCAUGAUAAUUAAUUGAAAGGUGCAAUUGCACCACUACCAGAUGGACCUGCGUUGUAUUAGCUAGUAGGUGAGGUAACGGCUCACCUAGGCGACGAUACAUAGCCGAGCUGGGAGGGUGGUCGGCCAACCUUGGAAUUGGGAACGGGCCAGGCUCCUACGGGAGGCAGCAGUAGGGAAUCUUCGGCAAUGGACGAAAGUCUGACCGAGCAACGCCGCGUGAGUGAAGAAGGGUUUCGGAUCGGAAAGCUCUGUUGUAAGAGAAGAACGGGUGUGAGAGUGGAAAGUUCACACUGUGACGGUAUCUUACCAGAAAGGGACGGCUAACUACGUG
rnacentral:rRNA from 1 species